rnacentral:rRNA from 1 species
GUUGGNGGGUAAUGGCCUACCAAGGCAACGAUCAGUAGCCGGCCUGAGAGGGUGAACGGCCACAUUGGGACUGAGACACGGCCCAAACUCCUACGGGAGGCAGCAG